AUUGAACGCUGGCGGCAGGCUUAACACAUGCAAGUCGAGCGGAGAUGAGGUGCUUGCACCUUAUCUUAGCGGCGGACGGGUGAGUAAUGCUUAGGAAUCUGCCUAUUAGUGGGGGACAACAUUCCGAAAGGAAUGCUAAUACCGCAUACGUCCUACGGGAGAAAGCAGGGGAUCUUCGGACCUUGCGCUAAUAGAUGAGCCUAAGUCGGAUUAGCUAGUUGGUGGGGUAAAGGCCUACCAAGGCGACGAUCUGUAGCGGGUCUGAGAGGAUGAUCGGCCACACUGGGACUGAGACGCGGCCCAGGCUCCUACGGGAGGCAGCAGUGGGGAAUAUUGGACAAUGGGGGGAACCCUGAUCCAGCCAUGCCGCGUGUGUGAAGAAGGCCUUAUGGUUGUAAAGCACUUUAAGCGAGGAGGAGGCUACUGAGACUAAUACUCUUGGAUAGUGGACGUUACUCGCAGAAUAAGCACCGGCUAACUCUGUGCCAGCAGCCGCGGUAAGAC
rnacentral:rRNA from 1 species